UACAGAGGGGGCAAGCGUUGUUCGGAAUUACUGGGCGUAAAGCGCGCGUAGGCGGCUUUGUAAGUUAGAGGUGAAAGCCCGGGGCUCAACCCCGGAACUGCCUUUAAGACUGCAUCGCUUGAAUCCAGGAGAGGUGAGUGGAAUUCCGAGUGUAGAGGUGAAAUUCGUAGAUAUUCGGAAGAACACCAGUGGCGAAGGCGGCUCACUGGACUGGUAUUGACGCUGAGGUGCGAAAGCGUGGGGAGCGAACAGG
rnacentral:rRNA from 1 species